CCCGAGACUAGAGUCACAUCUCUGGCCUGACCGUGGCCUUGCUGUGCUAGAGUACUCGCAGAGUCAUUACUGAUCUUUAUUCACUGGCUGGUUCUCAAUGUAGCUCAGCCAGUCACCAGUUCAGUGACAUUU